UCUGGCGGCUAUAGCGCGGUGGUCCCACCUGACCCCAUGCCGAACUCAGAAGUGAAACGCCGUAGCGCCGAUGGUAGUGUGGGGUCUCCCCAUGCGAGAGUAGGGAACUGCCAGAC
rnacentral:rRNA from 1 species